rnacentral:rRNA from 1 species
GACGAACGCUGGCGGCGUGCCUAAUACAUGCAAGUCGAACGCAGUGGGGACGGGUGAUUAACACGUGGGUAACCUCCCAUCAGAGGGGAUAACACUUUGAAACAGGUGCUAAACCGCUACUGAUGGAUGGACCCGCGGUGCAUUAGCUAGUUUGUGAGGUACCGGCUCACCAAGGCCACGAUGCAUAGCCUGACUGAGAGGGUGAGAGGCAACACUGGAACUGAGACAAGGCCCAGAGUCCUACGUGAGGCAGCAGUAGGGAAUCUUCGGAAAUGGACGAAAGUCUGACGGAGCAAUGCCGCGUGAGUGAAGAAGGGUUUCGGAUUGUAAAACCCUGUUGUUGGGGAAGCGGUAUCUAACCAGAAAGCCACGGCUAACUACGUGCCAGCAGCCGCGGUAAUUC